rnacentral:lncRNA from 1 species
AAGAAAAAGAGAAAAUUUGAAUGAAGCCUGUAUUAUCCGAAGUGUAUUAGCAUUGACAUGCAUAUUGCAUCAAGUGUCUUGUUAGGUUUUUUAUCUUUGAGGGAUAUCUGUUAUCCUUGCCCUUCGAGGUGUUUGUUUCCCCAUCCCUUAUAUGAUCUGGAAAGACGUAAGAGGACCACUCCUAGUGGAUUACGGUAUAAUUUUUGAUGAAAGUAGUGUUGCACUAUCUGUAGGGGUCACCCGUGGAUAAAUAAUGUCGUAACUGUAGAUAUUUGUUAGGGCCACUAUGGCUGGUAUGGUCGUGGUCAUAUAUCAUACUAUGGUUUGGCUAAUUGAAAAUGGGCUUGAGCAAAUUGACGUAUUUGUAUUCGAUCUGUUCAUUCCAUUCAGGUAAUUGGAAAUCUGUAUCUGCCCUCAGAGGUGGAAGUUGUAAUGACUUCGCGAAGUAUGACACAAAAAUCUAAGCAUUUAAUGAUUUAUUUGAUUUUUUCUAUU